AUGUUCACUUAAGCAGCACCUAUACCGAAAGUGGAAUGGUCAGAGAAGAUUAACGUGGCCAAGCAUAAGGAUGACAUGCAAACUCCUGAAGCAUUACAUAUUUCU
rnacentral:snRNA from 1 species